GAUCACACUUGUGUGGGGCUCAGAAACAUCCUGCCCAACUUGACAAGCUUCUCCUCGCACAGUACAGUGGGACCUCCAAACCAACUCUCUCACAAUGAGGAUCCACCUGUGGAGGAAAACAUUACAGAAAAGAGCCCAAGUGCUGCACACCCUGCCGCCUCCUUCAAAAAGAAAAGCAUGCCAAAUAUUCCCCGCCGUAAGCGAUCGCACCCUGAGGGAUGGGAAGACUGGCCAGUACUCGGAGAGGGUUGGAAACGAAAAGAAGUUGUUCGGCGCUCAGGUAGCAGCAAGGGCAGGAAGGAUGUAUAUUACCGAAGUCCAGAGGGUAUUCUGGUGAGGAGCAAAGUAAAACUGGCCUCAUUACUCGAGGGACGUGACUUGUCAACCUUUGAGUACAAGACAGGAAAGUUCCAUGAUGGUGAAAUACCACCCACAAGAUUUUGAAACAGAGCAAAGAAAAAGAUCCGUGAGAGUUCUUCAUCAGAGUCCAGCAUUGUGGAGAGAGGAGAGGCAACUGACAACAGC